rnacentral:rRNA from 1 species
UACGUAGGGGGCAAGCGUUGUCCGGAAUCAUUGGGCGUAAAGAGCGUGUAGGCGGCUCGAUAAGUCUGCUGUGAAAGUCCAGGGCUCAACCCUGGAAGGCCGGUGGAAACUGUCGGGCUAGAGUCCGGAAGAGGCGAGUGGAACUCCCGGUGUAGCGGUGAAAUGCGCAGAUAUCGGGAGGAACACCAAUGGCGAAGGCAGCUCGCUGGGACGGUACUGACGCUGAGACGCGAAAGCGUGGGGAGCAAACAGGG